rnacentral:rRNA from 1 species
UAAUACGGAGGGUGCAAGCGUUACUCGGAAUCACUGGGCGUAAAGAGCGUGUAGGCGGAUAUAUAAGUCAGAAGUGAAAUCCAAUAGCUUAACUAUUGAACUGCUUUUGAAACUGUAUAUCUAGAAUGUGGGAGAGGUAGAUGGAAUUUCUGGUGUAGGGGUAAAAUCCGUAGAGAUCAGAAGGAAUACCGAUUGCGAAGGCGAUCUACUGGAACAUUAUUGACGCUGAGACGCGAAAGCGUGGGAGCAAACAGGAUUAGAUACCCUGGUAGUCCACGCCCUAAACGAUGCACACUAGUUGUUGUGAGGCUAGACCUUGCAGUAAUGCAGUUAACACAUUAAGUGUGCCGCCUGGGGAGUACGGUCGCAAGAUUAAAACUCAAAGGAAUAGACGGGGACCCGCACAAGCGGUGGAGCAUGUGGUUUAAUUCGACGAUACACGAAGAACCUUACCUGGACUUGACAUAGUAAGAACUAUCUAGAGAUAGAUGGGUGU